CUUCAUCUCCCUUUCUCCUCCUAGCUGGAAUUCUUUUCAUGGUUUCUCUCAAUUUUAUGGAAAUUUUUGUCUAUUCAGUUGAAUGCGGACUGCGAUUACGGGCUUCUUUCUUUCUUCUUCGUUUCGCGCUCUCCGAUUGGUUAGAGUGUGGACAUUACAACAUGGCCUCUAAUUUAUUGUUUUUCUCGAGUGUUACCGGUGAUUAGAUUUAGUAUGUGUUGGGUGUGCCGACGAUGAGUUUUGGCAGUUUAGGCUCUGUGGAUGUUAUCUUGCUUAACCCUUGCCAGAGUUUGUUUUCUUUCUUGUUUGAUGGAUCAUUUUACUUCAUCUCCCUUUUUCCUCCUAGCUGGAAUUCUUUUUAGGGUUUCUCUCGAUUUCUGAGGAAUUUUUCACCUAUUCAGUUGAAUGCGGGCUGUGAUUACGGGCUUCUUUCUUUCAUCUUCAUUUCGUGCUUUCUGAUCAGUUGGAGUGUUGGACAUUGCAAGUUGAUUUUCCUUUGAUUUAUUGUUUCUCUUCUCGAACGUUAUCGGUGAUUAGAUUUAGUACAUGUUUGGCGUGCAGAUGGAUUAGUUUGGCGGUUCAGAGCUGUGGAUGUUCUCUUGCUUAAACCCUUGCCAGAGUUUGUUUCCUUUGUUGUUUGAUGCACCGGGAGAGUUUGAAGAGUUUUUGGGUGGUCCCUUGUGGGUUUUACGAUUGCAGACUUGUAGAACAGAAUGGCGAUCUGGGCAUUGAGGCGCGGAAGCCGCUCCUAGGUUUGUCUACGUCGCUUGAGGGCAAAAGGAGGAGCAAGAAGAAAGUGCUCGAGAAUGAAGUUAAAUAUACUGGAAGAAGGACUUGUAUAAACCAAGUGAUUUGACAGUCCUUUUGGCAAAGGUUGAAGAAUCUGAGGUGAAAUACAAAGGAGUGAAUGCCUCAGAUCUCUGAGGGAUAUUUCCCUUGCACUUGCUGAGAUGCCUACAUGUGGUGAUCUAACAGGUGAUGUCUGUCACUCGGCUGAUGGUUACCAUCUCAAUGUUAAAGUAUAUGAGAAGCUGCUAUUUAGUGUUUUUGACAUACUGGACAAGGGCAAACUUGGAAGUAGGAGAUUCUUGAACUCUUGAAAUCAAUCUGGCAAAUUCUAGGAAUCACAAGGACUAUCCAUGGUAUAUGCUAUGCUUGGGUCUUAUUUCAGCAGUUUAUCAUAACUGGUGAACAACGGCUUCUACAACAUGCCACUGAAAUGCUAAGAAAGAUUCCACGAAAAUAACAGCGAAGUAUGCAGGAGAAGUUAUAUUUGAAAGACCUCUGUUUUCCAAUCGAAGGAGAAAUAGGGAAUCAAGAAUUAACAUUUAUGCAUUCUGUCUUGUCACCUAUAAAGUAGUGAGCUGAUAAGCGUUUGGAGGAUUAUCAUUGCCAUUUUUUUGAUGUUAGUCUCUGCUUAGAAUGACUCGGUGAUUGUAUUUCUGAAUAUGAUGGUUGUUGAUGAACAUACAUCGCCAAAUACAGGAAGAUAUUGAGCAUGAUUAUGGUAAAUCUUAGAGGAUUUAUAAUAAAGCUGCUAAGAGAUAGAUUGUGCUUGUUCCUAGCCCUUUUCGGGAAGGAACAGAAUUUGCUGGGGCAGGUGGGGAUCUACCAAGCCAGGAGUUCGAGCCCAUGUGAGAGUGGGCUGAAUUGUUAUAAUUGGUAUCUGGUUCAACACUUGGACCUGGGGUCUUAUACACAUAGACAUGCUGCUUUAAGGGAGAUGAAAUUGAAAGUUUAAUUCUACAUCUAAGAUUAUGAAAAACCUUGAAGGAUUGAUACGAAUGCUAGCUAAAAAAUAGAUUGACCUGGUUCCUUGACCAUUCAGGGGAGAAACUAAAACUAUUAGGGGGGUGGGUUGGGUCCACUAAACCAGGAGCCCAAACCCAUGUAGUAAUGGUUUAUGUUGUUGGAAUUUUAGAUGAUAGAAAACAUGUAUUCUAAUUGAUUGGUGAAUUUAGGUAAUCACAGUUGGAGCUGAUCCAGCGUUCGAAUGGUUGUGAAUUUUAUCUUAUUUGGGAACUUGAUUAAGAGAGUUGUGAUGUCCACUGGUGCUGUUUCUUUGGAUGAUGUUGGACUGGAUCAAGUAAGCAUUGAUUAUGUUCUCAACUGUGCCAAGAAAGGUUAGGUGACAAAAGAUUUAUACCGAUUCAACUUCUGCAGCCAUAAGAGAAAGAAAAAACUUCUUGAAGGGUGGUUGUUCCUUUUUUUUUUGGAGCUUUUAGGAACUUGCUCUUGUUACAGGGGAUGUGCUGCAAUUAUCAAAAGUAAUCAGAGACCAUUAUGAAAAAGUCAUCCUUCCAGCGACUUGUACACUAAUUAGACCAUAUUCUAAUUAAUUGACUUGUAGUCUUUUGUAGCUUCUCAAUCUGUUUGAAGCAUUUAAAUGAAGUAUUUUGAUGGAUAAAUGUACUAACAAGUGCCUAUAAGUAGAUAAGUAGACAAACAUAUCUCUGAACAAACAAGCAAACAAAUAAGUAAUGUUUGUGUUUAUGUGUGCAUGCAUGUGUGUGUAUAUGUCUACUUCAUUUUCCAAUAAGCUGACAAAGCAAUUUAGACAGGCUUAAGCGCUGACUGUGUUAAUUGGUCUUGAAGUGAUCCUGUCAAUAAACAUAACUAGUUCUGCGACCGUCUUUAUUUUCUUUUCUUCUACAAUAUUUUUUUCAAAUCAAACCUUUUUUUGUGGUGUUUAUUACAUUUUGAUGGAUAUGAAACUUCCUUCCAGGGUAAACUUCUCCCACAGUCUGUCAAUAACUGAAAUUUGCAUAGCUUUUUACGUAUUUUCUUGUUCUUUUUGUUUUCUAUAGUUUGGGGAAUGCUUUUUAUUCAUUUUUUAAUCUGGAAGCUUUUGGUUUGAUUUGUGUGUUCUUUU